GCGUCAGUGGUAACGGUCAGCAUGGAUGCCUUCCAAGCAAUCGACGGGGGUUCGAUUCCCCCCUGACGCA
rnacentral:tRNA from 1 species